GCGAUCGUGGCGGAACUGGCAGACGCGCACGUUUGAGGGGCGUGUGGGAACACCCAUACGAGUUCAAGUCUCGUCGAUCGCACCA
rnacentral:tRNA from 1 species